rnacentral:misc_RNA from 1 species
UAGUGAUCUCUUAAUGAAUGAACUGAAGAGAACAGAAAUUAAUGAUAUGAGUUGUUCACAAAAGGAAUUGGUUUUGGAAAUUAUCAAGUGUAACAGCAACUCUAUCAUCAGUUUGUCUUACAUUCUGACACAAUAGCACACAAAAUCUCAGAGAUAUGAAAUGAAUAACUGCAAUUUUCAAGAUAAAUGACGGACUGAUUUCAUAAGAUUCAAGAACGAUAAAGAACUUGAAAAAAAAAAAAA